UUAGUAUAAGGUAGUUUUAGUUUUACAGUAUCUGCAAAUGUACUAAUAUUUAAUUAUUAUUAUAUUACCUUUUGCAUAAUGGCUUUAUUAAAUAUAUAUAUAUAUAAAUAUAUAUUCGCGAAAAUAUUUGAUCUAAUUAUUCUUGUAUAUUAGUUAUUAAUUUAGAUAUGUAACAUAAUAUUAUUAAAAUAAUAAUUAGGGGUGAUAGGCUUCUCAAGAAUAUUGAUAUCUUGAUUUACUAAAAAAGUAUUUAGUACUAAGACGUUCUAUUAAUCCUAAGGUUAAUAAAAGUAUAAAUAUAACAAAUUGAUUUUUGUACUAUUAUAACUUAAUAGUUUAAUAUUAAAAUAACCUAACAUAAAACAUUUUUUACUAAUAAAAUAUAUAGUAACGUAGAUUAAUAUAUUGUAAUUAUAGAUUCUGUUUAGAUUAGUAAACUAUAAUAUAAAUGUAAUGAACUCGGCAACAUUAAGUUCAACUGUUUACCAAAAACAUAAUUAUAUGGAAUAAAUAUAUAAUGUGUCCUGCUCAGUGAUUAUUUAAACAGCCGCAGUACUCUGACUGUGCAAAGGUAGCAUAAUAAUUUGGCUUAUAAUUGAAGUCUAGAAUCAAUGGAUUUUUGAGCUUAAACUGUAUCAUAUAAUUAAUAUAUUUAACUUAAUUAUGAAGUGAAAAUACUUCAAAUAAAAUAUUAGACGAGAAGACCCUUGAAAUUUUUAUAAUUUAAUUCAAGUAAAAUUUUUGUUGGGGCAACAUAGUAACAAAUCUUAAAUUACUUAAAAAUAUAUAUAAAGUUAAUAAACAUAUUAAAUAAAUUACUCUAGGGAUAACAGCAUAAUUUAUAAUAGCUUGUGACCUCGAUGUUGGACUAAGUAUCCUUAAUUCAGAAAAUUAAAGGAAAUGCUCUGUUCGAGCAAGUAUACUUACAUGAUCUGAGUUCAGACCGGCGUAAGCCAGGUCAGUUUCUAUCUAUAAAAUUCUAUUAUAUAGUACGAAAGGAACUAUUAAUAAUAUUAGUUAAUAAU
rnacentral:rRNA from 1 species